UUGGAGUUGGGGGAGGUAGAGGAAGAAGUGGUGUUGGUGCUAAUUCUAGUGCCACAACUGCUUCUACUAGUGCCGCAACUUCAUCACGAUAUGAUUUUGGUGCUACAAGACCAAGGGUGCAGGGAUAUGGUAUUUACACUGACAUACGUACUGGAACAUCAAUAUUCAACCAAGGGAUGCCAAGUGAAAGAGUUCUAACACCC